GAACAAGAGGCAGGAGUAUAAGAUGUGCUCUCUGCCUUGAUUACACAAACACACACAUGCACACGAAUCUUGGCUCUUUCCAAAAUGGAGUGAAUGAAUGACAAGAGAGAAUAGAAGAGCGAAGCAGGGAAAGAAAUGGCACAGCAUGAUUCUUUCAAUGUCAAUCCUCCAACCCCACAAACUGAUCAUUCUGUUGGACAGGAAAACUGACAGCCAAAAUCCUGUGAGUCUUCUGCUAUCAAUCAAGGGGCACCAAAGAAGCCGAAUUCACCUCACAGGAUUGUUGUUGUGGGGAAAAUAGGAGGAGGAAGGUCUACUGGAUAUGCUUGCCACCUGGA